CCUACGGGUGGCAGCAGUAGGGAAUCUUCCACAAUGGGCGAAAGCCUGAUGGAGCAACGCCGCGUGGGUGAAGAAGGUCUUCGGAUCGUAAAACCCUGUUGUGAGAGAAGAAAGUGCGUGAGAGUAACUGUUCACGUUUCGACGGUAUCUAACCAGAAAGCCACGGCUAACUACGUGCCAGCAGCCGCGGUAAUACGUAGGGGGCAAGCGUUAUCCGGAUUUAGUGGGCGUAAAGGGAGCGCAGGCUGUCUUUUAAGUCUGAUGUGAAAGCCUUCGGCUUAACCGGAGUAGUGCAUUGGAUACUGGGAGACGUGAGUGCAGAAGAGGGGAGUGGAACUCCAUGUGUAGCAGUGAAAUGCGUAGAUAUAUGGAAGAACACCAGUGGCGAAAGCGGCUAUCUGGUCUGUAACUGACGCUGAGGUUCGAAAGCGUGGGUAGCAAACAGGAUUAGAUACCCGAGUAGUC
rnacentral:rRNA from 1 species